rnacentral:misc_RNA from 1 species
UGUUCUUUUUAGUUACACUAUUACACUGGUGUAAUAAGUUAAAGUGAGACAAGUAUAUUUUUUCUCAUUCUAACUUAUUGCAACAGUGCAACUAGAAAGAACAGACCACAUGUUUUCUAUAGUGUGCUUCCAUGUGUAUGAAUGCCAUGUUAUACGUGUAUAACUUUGAAGAAUAAAAAAAAACAUUGAAAAAAGAAAAUUAUAAAAUGGUAUAUUGUAAAGCGUGUGGCGUGACCGGAAAAGCUCGAAAUUAUGGAAUAACAUUUCAUUGGUUUCCAAAAAACGAAAGCCAAAGGAAUGCCUGGAUCAGUUUCGUAAAUAAGGGAAAGGAAUCAAAUACAAAUUUUAAGUGUACUAUGCUCUGCUCACAACACUUUGAAGAUUCAUGUUUUGACAAAACAUCACGUGUGAAAAUGAGAUUAAAACCAUUCUCUGUGCCUACAAUAUACAUUUCAAGAGCAAAAUAUUCAAAAUAUGAAGACACUUUUACUAAAGUUAUUACAACUGCACCUUCAGAGAAUGAAACAUUUGCUGCAAAUAUUGUACCAGAUGUGUCAAUAGAUGCUACAGCGAUGGAUUCCAUAAAUAAUGAAAUAGUGGAGAAAUCAAUUUCUUCAAAUAAUUGUGAAACAUCUGUUGUAAACAUAUCAGCAGAUGCUGCAACAAUAUGUUCCAAUGAAGAUAAUGACAUGGCAGAAAAGUCAAUUGAUAGUGAAGUGAAUGAUCUCUUACCAAUAAAUACAUCAGAUGAUCAAAAAUUAACUGAUAUUAUAUCUAAUAAUGAAGAGUUGCUGCCACUUAAUUUUAAAAAUAAUGUUUCAUUCAACAUUUUACCAAGCGAUACACCGAGAAAGAUUGUAUUAAAGAAGAAAAUUAUAUUGAUGGGACAAUUACUUGUUGAAAAGUCGGCUCUGAUUAGAAACUUACAAAAGAAAAAUUGGAAGCAGAAAAAACGAAUAUCUAAAUUAAAAUCAAUAAUAUCAGAACUUAGUAAAAAAAAUCUUAUAUCUGAUGACACAUUAAUGCAUGAAUUUAGACCAAAUAAGCAAUUAAAUACUUAACAGGGAAGGCAUAUGAUUAUGUGAGAAGAAAAUUCUACAAUACUUUACCACAUCCUAAAACACUUAGCAAAUGGUAUUCAACUAUUAACGUAUUGCUAGGAUUAUCUACAGAAGCACUAAAAAUGAUCAAGCAAAAGCAAAAUCAUCUGAUCGGAUUGUAUGCUCGUUAAUAAUGGAUGAAAUGGCCAUAAAUAAAAAAAUAGAAUUUGAUGAUAAUAAAUAUUAUGGAUCAUCUAAAUCUCAUUUAGUGGAAAAAAAUACAAUUGAUUGGUACAUACACUACAAAACGAGAAGUAUCAAUAGAAAAUUUGAAUUUAAUCGACUUAGCUGAAUUUGAACGUUUAAAUUGUUUGAAGACUAAAGAACCUGUCAGAAUGGUAGACACAAAAAAUCAACAAAGUCUUUAGCAAAUCUUGGCAAUGUCAUUUUAGCGCUUUUGAAGAAACAGGAACAUGUUCCUUACAGAAAUUAACGCAUUUACUCAUUUCUUAUCUAGGAGGCAGUGCCAAAACUUUGAUGUUACUAAAUGUAUAUUGUCUCAAUAUACUGCUGUAAGAUUUAUUCGACAUUUAAAAAUACUUUUGCAUAAUAUGUAAAAAUAAAAACAACUUUGAUUAUAAACACAUCAAAUUUGUUUGAAAUUUAAUUUUAAAAAUAUAUUUUAUUAUCAGUUUUCUAUCUUUAAAUUAUGAAUUAUUCAAUGCUUGUAGUCUUGUAACAUAAGUAUUAUAAUAUUUGCUGUUAUCUCUAUAAAAUUAUCUAGAUAAUCUAAAAAA